rnacentral:rRNA from 1 species
UGGAUGAGUGGCGAACGGGUGAGUAACACGUGAGUAACCUGCCCUCUUCUUUGGAUAACGCCCGGAAACGGGUGCUAAUACUGGAUAUUCACUGAUCUUCGCAUGGGGGUUGGUGGAAAGGUUUUUUCUGGUGGGGGAUGGGCUCGCGGCCUAUCAGCUUGUUGGUGGGGUGAUGGCCUACCAAGGCUUUGACGGGUAGCCGGCCUGAGGGGGUGACCGGUCACAUUGGGACUGAGAUACGGCCCAG